CCUACGGGCGGCAGCAGUGGGGAAUAUUGGACAAUGGGGGCAACCCUGAUCCAGCCAUGCCGCGUGUGUGAAGAAGGCCCUCGGGUUGUAAAGCACUUUCAGUGAGGAAGAACGCCUGGUGGUUAAUACCCAUCAGGAAAGACAUCACUCACAGAAGAAGCACCGGCUAACUCCGUGCCAGCAGCCGCGGUAAUACGGAGGGUGCGAGCGUUAAUCGGAAUUACUGGGCGUAAAGCGCGCGUAGGUGGCUUGAUAAGCCGGUUGUGAAAGCCCCGGGCUCAACCUGGGAACGGCAUCCGGAACUGUCAAGCUAGAGUGCAGGAGAGGAAGGUAGAAUUCCCGGUGUAGCGGUGAAAUGCGUAGAGUUCGGGAGGAAUACCAGUGGCGAAGGCGGCCUUCUGGACUGACCCUGACACUGAGCUGCGAAAGCGUGGGUAGCAAACAGGAUUAGAUACCCGUGUAGUC
rnacentral:rRNA from 1 species